AAAAGCCCUAAUCAAACAUUAAGACCGCCAAUGGGAGAACAAAGUGUUUCCAUACGUCCUUUUCAAAGAUUAUAUAUUGAUAUUCUCGGCCCAUAUCCCCGUAGUAAAAGAGGCUAUACUGGAUUAUUUAUAGUGCUUGACCAUUUUAGUAGAUAUCACUGGCUGUGUCCAUUAAAGAAAGCUACGACCGGAAGUAUUAACAACUUUUUAGAAGAUCGAAUUUUUUGUGAGUUUGGAGUUCCAGAGUCUAUUGUUAGUGACAACGGCUCACAAUUCAAAGCAAAAGAAUUUGAAGCGAUGUUAACUAGGUUUGGAAUUCGACACAUUUGUACCGCCCUCUACUCUCCGCAAAGCAAUGCAGCUGAACGAGUAAAUCGCUCGAUAAUUACAGCUAUCCGUUCGUAUCUUAAGAAUGAUCAAACCGACUGGGAUGUUAAUUUAACUUGCAUUUCAUCCGCUUUGAGAUCGGCAUUGCAUCAGUCUCUUGGAUGUUCUCCUUACAAAGCCCUUUUUGGUUUUAAUAUGAUUAACCACGCGGAGGAUUACCGAUUAUUAAAGAAUUUAUCACUUCUAGAAGAAUCCCCUACAAUAGAUCGGCACGAAAAGUUAUUUUUGUUACGCCAAAAUGUGAAAACAAAUAGUCGAAAAGCCUAUGAAGAGAAUGCAAAACAGUACAACUUGAGGAGUAAGAAUAGUUCAUUCAAAGAAGGUCAAGAAGUUUUCAAACGAAAUUUCCAGUUAAGUAACUUUAGUCAGAACUACAAUAAAAAGUUAGGCCCGUUGUUUUCGAAAUGCAGAGUGAAGAAGAAAUUGGGAAACGCUUAUUAUUUGCUAGAAACCCUGAGUGGAAAAGAGCUAGGAACUUAUCAUGCCAAAGAUAUAAAAUGCUAAUUCCAGCUAAUCAUGUCUCCGGAUUACUCGACAGAUUAUCUGUGGUUGUAAUGGUCACCUGUGCUGCCCAUUCGAGUUUAAAAAAAAUUAGAUUAGAAUAACGUCUAAUCUUAACGAAACUCUCCACUUUUAUCGAUAGGUGUUAGCAAUUUUUUUUUGUUUUAUUCAUUCCUAAUGUGCAUACUAGGCGUUAGUACUUACCUUGACAUUAGCCCUAGCAGCUUAUUAGGUGCCGUCAAAAGUCUUUUUCUUUUUUGAGCUGUCAAACUAAGCAGACGCACACCUUAGUACCAGCUACAACAUAUACAUAAAUCAAGUGGGUGAAACACGUGCAAAGUGAUCACAACAAAAUAAAACAAAUUAAAUCUGAAAAAUCCCCACACAUCAUUGGGCAAAGAAGUGAAGCAAAGACAUCAUUAAAGUCGCAAACAAACCUAGCCUGGGAUCAGGCGUCUUCUAUGGCCGAAAAUCCACAAGAGUCCCACCCGCACCACCUGGAUUCCCUACCUGGAUCAUUACACAUAGUUUUUAUCAGGAUGAGUAACCCUAUCAAAAAUAAAAAAAACACCCACUUAGUCUAUCCCGUCUACAUUUAUACUGAUGUAGACAAUACAUCACAAUACUGAUACACCGGAUAGGAGAAAUUUCGGAUAUCACCUAUAAAUAUAAAACGAUAUCAAAGUAUACAAUAGCGAACGAGAGUCGCCUUCCAAUCGUGUAUUACAUUUCUGUUGUUGUUCACAAACACAAAAAUUAAAUUACAUUAAAAUAUUACAAACUUAUAUUGAACUAGAAAUUUAGAAAAGAAAAAAAAUUAGAUGUAAAAGAAAUGAAUACGAAAGAAAUUAUAGAUAUAGAAAAAUAAUAGUAAUAAUUAUAUUCAAUUACAUUAAAAUAGUAUGAACUUAUAUUGAACUAGAAAUUUAAAGAAAAAAAAAAAAAUAUAUAUAUAGUGAAAAGAAAUUAUGAAUUCUAUUAAAGUACAUUAAAUUCUACGAACUCGAAUUGAACUAAA